AUAUUUAUUUUUAAAAUAAUUAUUUUAUAAUAGUAAGAAUAAUUUAUUUAAAUAUUUUUUUACAUGUAAAUAUUCAUUUGAUAUUAAAAAAUUUUUAAUAAUUUUUAUUUAUUAUAUUCGCAGUAAUUAAUAUUAUAAAUUUUUUUAUAAAUGAUUUAGAAAUUAUUAUUUAAAAUUGGUAAAAUUUGUGCCAGCAAUCGCGGUUAUACAAAUAAUUUAAUUAAAUUUAUUUAGUAAUAGUAAAAUAAAAUAAAUUAUUAUAAAUAAAUAAAACUUAAAUUUUAUAGGUGAAAUUUUAAAAUUUAAAUUAUUUUUAUUAAAUUUAUUUUUAGCUAAUAAGUUUUAAAUAUAAACUAGGAUUAGAUACCCUAUUAUUUAAAAAGUUAAAAUAAAAAUAUUAAAGUAGUAAUAGUUAAAUGCUUAAAACUUAAAUAAUUUGGCGGUAUUUUAGUCUAUUUAGAGGAAUUUGUUUAAUAAAUGAUAACCCACAAUUUACCUAACUUAAAUUUUUGAAAUUUGUAUAUCGUUGUCGUAAGAAUAUUUUAUUAGAAUAAAAAUUUUCUUAAUUUUUAAUUUAUAAAUAAGUCAAAUCAAGGUGCAGUUUAUAUUUAAGUUUAAAAUGAAUUACAAUAAAUAUUAAUUAUUUUGAAUAAUUUAUUAAAAUAUAAGUUUGAAAUAGGAUUUAAUAGUAAAAAUAUUUUAGAAAAAUAUUUUGGUUUUAGCUCUAAAAUAUGCACACAUUGCCCGUCGCUCUCAUUAAUUUAUUAAAAUGAGAUAAGUCGUAACAUAGUAGAUAUACUGGAAAGUGUUUCUAGAAAUA
rnacentral:ncRNA from 1 species